rnacentral:rRNA from 1 species
UCAGCCGCCGCGGUAAAACCAGCACCUCGAGUGGUCAGGAGGUUCAUUGGGCCUAAAGCAUCCGUAGCCGGUUGUUUAAGUUUUCGGUUAAAUCUAUGCGCUUAACGUAUAGGCUGCCGAAAAUACUGGACAGCUAGGGAGUGGGAGAGGUACACGGUACUCAAUAGGAAGGGGUAAAAUCCUUUGAUCUGUUGGUGACCACCUGUGGCGAAGGCGGUGUACCAGAACACGUUCGACGGUGAGGGAUGAAAGCUGGGGGAGCAAACCGGAUUAGAUACCCGGGUAGUCCCAGCUGUAAACGAUGCAAACUCGGUGAUGCAUUGGCUUGUGGCCAAUGCAGUGCCGCAGGGAAGCCGUUAAGUUUGCCGCCUGGGAAGUACGUACGCAAGUAUGAAACUUAAAGGAAUUGGCGGGGGAGCACA